CAGUCGCCGCGGGAAUACGUAGGGUGCGAGCGUUAAUCGGAAUUACUGGGCGUAAAGCGUGCGCAGGCGGUUUUGUAAGACAGAGGUGAAAUCCCCGGGCUCAACCUGGGAACUGCCUUUGUGACUGCAAGGCUAGAGUACGGCAGAGGGGGAUGGAAUUCCGCGUGUAGCAGUGAAAUGCGUAGAUAUGCGGAGGAACACCGAUGGCGAAGGCAAUCCCCUGGGCCUGUACUGACGCUCAUGCACGAAAGCGUGGGGAGCAAACAGGAUUAGAUACCCCCGUAGUCCCUGUCUCUUAUAC
rnacentral:rRNA from 1 species